ensembl:Y_RNA Y_RNA Y RNA
GGCUGGUCCAAAGGUAGUGAGUUAGCUCAACUGAUGGUUCACAGUCAGUUACAGAUCGAACUCCUUGUUCUACUCUUUCCCCCUCUUCUCACUACUGCACUUGACUAGUCUUAA